rnacentral:rRNA from 1 species
GAUGAACGCUGGCGGCGUGCCUAAUACAUGCAAGUCGAGCGAACGGACGAGAAGCUUGCUUCUCUGAUGUUAGCGGCGGACGGGUGAGUAACACGUGAAUAACCUACCUAUAAGACUGGGAUAACUUCGGGAAACCGGAUCUAAUACCGGAUAAUAUUUUGAACAGCAUGGUUCAAAAGUAAAAGACGUUCUUUCUGUCACUUAUAUAGGGAUCCUCGCUGCAUUAGCUAGUUGGUAAGGUAACGGCUUACCAAGGAAACGAUGCAUAGCCGACCUGAGCGGGUGAUCGGCCACACUGGAAAUGAGACAAGGUCCCGACUGCUACGGGAGGCAGCAGUAGGGAAUCUUCGGCAAUGGGCGAAAGCCUGACGGAGCAAAGCCGCGUGAGUGAUGAAGGUCUUCGGAUCGUAAAACUCUGUUAUUAGGGAAGAACAUAUGUGUAAGUAACUGUGCACAUCUUGACGGUACCUAAUCAGAAAGCCACGGCUAACUACGUG